UACGGGGGGGGCAAGCGUUGUUCGGAAUUACUGGGCGUAAAGAGCGUGUAGGCGGUGCUCUAAGUUCGGUGUGAAAUCUCCUGGCUCAACUGGGAGGGUGCGCCGGAAACUGGAGUGCUUGAGCGUGGGAGAGGAAAGCGGAAUUCCUGGUGUAGCGGUGAAAUGCGUAGAUAUCAGGAGGAACACCUGUGGUGUAGACGGCUUUCUGGACCAUAGCUGACGCUGAGACACGAAAGCGUGGGUAGCAAACAGG
rnacentral:rRNA from 1 species